rnacentral:rRNA from 1 species
GAUGAACGCUGGCGGCGUGCCUAAUACAUGCAAGUCGAGCGAAUGGAUUAAGAGCUUGCUCUUAUGAAGUUAGCGGCGGACGGGUGAGUAACACGUGGGUAACCUGCCCAUAAGACUGGGAUAACUCCGGGAAACCGGGGCUAAUACCGGAUAACAUUUUGAACCGCAUGGUUCGAAAUUGAAAGGCGGCUUCGGCUGUCACUUAUGGAUGGACCCGCGUCGCAUUAGCUAGUUGGUGAGGUAACGGCUCACCAAGGCAACGAUGCGUAGCCGACCUGAGAGGGUGAUCGGCCACACUGGGACUGAGACACGGCCCAGACUCCUACGGGAGGCAGCAGUAGGGAACCUUCCGCAAUGGACGAAAGUCUGACGGAGCAACGCCGCGUGAGUGAUGAAGGCUUUCGGGUCGUAAAACUCUGUUGUUAGGGAAGAACAAGUGCUAGUUGAAUAAGCUGGCACCUUGACGGUACCUAACCAGAAAGCCACGGCUAACUACGUGCCAGGAGCCGCGGUAA